CCUGGGAUGGAGGAUGGGUCUCUAAUUGCCGCACUGAGUGUCAAUAGGAUAAAUGUCUUAAUGCUGAUUAAUGACUGUCCGUAAUGGUAUUCAAAAAAUGUAGGUUUGCUGUGGCUUUUUCAAAGUCCAGAUGAGCUGCUUGGAGCUCUGCUAAUGAUGCAAAUUAUUUAACGCUCAUUUGUAUGCAGUAUGCUCCUGCUUUGAAAGUACUUCACAGAAUUCAAGCCAAAUUCAGCCUUACAGCUCCACUGAAGUCAGUGCUUGUUUGUGCAUCUGUUGAUUGCUUUUCUUUUCUUUUUUCUUUUUUUGGCUUUUUUUUUUAUUUUGUUCUGUUUGAAGAGUUAUUUUCUUGUUGCACUGAUUUUAUUUUCUUAAAGGUAAUAUCUGCAAGGGGUUUGUAGUCACUUCUCCCCUCCCCAGUAAAGUAGCUGUAAGUACAAAUGCAGUUCUGUUGAUUCUCCCAUCUCCUUCUUAAGCCCUACAAAUGAGGACAAGCUAAGCAGAAAAUAGAGUUUUGUGUUCUUUCCUUUCUACUACUUUGCACCUCCUAAGCACAGUUUUGGUGACAUAUGGCACUUCUCCUAAAAAAAUGUCCUGCAAAGAAUCUCUGCCUGCCAUCUGAUGUAUCCAAGAAACUGAGUUCCUGUGGCCCAUUUCUGGAUUAACCCAACAUGAACUGAUGAAGGCCCAGGACAUGCACAAUUCUGCAGUCCCCUUCGGAAUAGCUCAUUCCAACUUGGCUGCUUCAGUAUGCUGAAGAUGUUAAGUCAGUUAUGUGGAAAAGGGGAAAAAAGAAAACUUCAUGUAGAACAUCUGAGAAAGCUGUAACUGUAUCUCUGUGAAGAUGCUAUAUGCUACACAGAAGUAUUUGCCAUGAGAAUCCCAAACUACUGCUAGGACCCAAGCUUGUGUUGGAUUCUAAUAAGCCUUUGCAGGUAGGAUGUCGCUGUGUUGUAGAGUACCCUGCAGAUUUCAACAAUUCCAGUGAAUUUCUGUUUGUGGAAACUGAGUUUUGUUCUACGUAGUAAGCACCCAUCUUAACCCUGCUGGAGCAGAACAGCCCUUUUCCUAGCAGAAACCAGAGCUGUUGUUGAUUAAUGUCUUGCUGAAAACUAAGUCUUUGCCAUCUGUUCCGCCCCCUCACUACGAAUGCCACUCUCAUUAUGUUGAUUAUGUAAUUAAAAAUGAAAAUAUAUUUUGGUAAGAGUGCUGCAUAGGCAUCUGUGCUUAUUCUUCUGUUCCUGUUCACUGCCCC
rnacentral:lncRNA from 1 species